AUCGCUGUGAAGAUGCAGUGUACCCGCGGCUAGACGGAAAGACCCCGUGAACCUUUACUACAGCUUGGCACUGAACAUUGACCCUACAUGUGUAGGAUAGGUGGGAGGCUUUGAAGCACGUACGCCAGUAUGUGUGGAGCCGUCCUUGAAAUACCACCCUUGUAGUGUUGAUGUUCUAACGUCGACCCCUAAUCGGGGUUGCGGACAGUGCCUGGUGGGUAGUUUGACUGGGGCGGUCUCCUCCCAAAGAGUAACGGAGGAGCACGAAGGUGGGCUAAUCACGGUUGGACAUCGUGAGGUUAGUGCAAUGGCAUAAGCCCGCUUGACUGCGAGAAUGACAAUUCGAGCAGGUGCGAAAGCAGGUCAUAGUGAUCCGGUGGUUCUGAAUGGAAGGGCCAUCGCUCAACGGAUAAAAGGUACUCCGGGGAUAACAGGCUGAUACCGCCCAAGAGUUCAUAUCGACGGCGGUGUUUGGCACCUCGAUGUCGGCUCAUCACAUCCUGGGGCUGAAGUCGGUCCCAAGGGUAUGGCUGUUCGCCAUUUAAAGUGGUACGCGAGCUGGGUUUAGAACGUCGUGAGACAGUUCGGUCCCUAUCUGCCGUGGGCGUUGGAAGAUUGAAGGGGGCUGCUCCUAGUACGAGAGGACCGGAGUGGACGAACCUCUGGUGUUCGGGUUGUGUCGCCAGACGCAUUGCCCGGUAGCUAAGUUCGGAAUCGAUAACCGCUGAAAGCAUCUAAGCGGGAAGCGAGCCCUGAGAUGAGUCUUCCCUGAUACUUUAAGUAUCCUAAAGGGUUGUCGGAGACUACGACGUUGAUAGGUCAGGUGUGUAAGUGCUGUGAGGCAUUGAGCUAACUGAUACUAAUUGCCCGUGAGGCUUAACCAUACAACACCCAAGGGGUUU
rnacentral:rRNA from 1 species